GUAAGUAACGCUUCCAACUUGAUUCAAAAUCAAUAACAUAAGUGCUAAACGUAUCUUCCAAAAUCUGAAUAACACAUUUAGAUUGUCUGUCUGUCUGCGAAUGAAAAACUAUGCUAAAAUUAAGUCAUGUAGCAAGAGAUUCGUGCAACUGUUUUCAAGAUUUCAAAAUGAACCGCAGAUCUCGAUCAAAGCUAGUUGCCAAAUGUGGUGGGGAAAAAUAAAAAAGCUUCUUUUCAGCUCUUAAAGAAUCGCACGAGGCAACAGAUUGAAAAUUGUAGUGUGAGAUUCCUUAGUGUGAGAUUCCUUUCUCAAAGAGGUAAGGAAUUGUUUAUUAAAGCUAUUUUACAUGUUAUACCUACUUACACUAUAACUUGUUUUUUGCUUCCAAAGUCUGUGUGUGGACUUGGACAAUAGUAUGGCUCAUUUUUGGUAGCAAAAAGGACGUGGGCGAAAAGGGAUUCAUUGCUGCAAUUGGGAAACGACUUUGCGAUAUUAAAGAAAAUGAGGGGUAUGGGAUUUCGUAAUUUAUCCAAAUUUAAUGUUGCAUUAUUAGCUAAACAAGGUUGGUGUAUUCUUAAUUACCUAGAUUCAAUAUUAACAGAAGUUCUUAAGGCUAAGUACUUUCCAAAUACAAAUUUUCUUAAUUCUGAGUUAGGACGUCUACUUUCGUAUAUUUAGAAGGGUGUAUGGACAACUAAAUGAUUGCUGAAGUAUAGGAUUUGUUAGAGGGUGGGAACGGGUCAGAAUAUUUCAAUUGUUGCUGAUGCGUGGCUCCUUGGAUUUGUAAGUUAUAAGGUAGAAUCAAUCAGGAAUUACACUGAACUCAAUAAAGUAGUGAAUCUAAUUGAUGAACAAAAGAGAGAAUGGAAGGUUGACUUAAUUUAUUCUACCUUCUCUAAAAAAAAAGUGGACAAAAUUGUGCGAAAUCCCUUAGCAAUGGAACCUCAUGUGGACUUUAUGGUAUGGAAAGGGGAGGCCUCUGGAGAAUUCCUUGUGUGAAGUUCUUAUAAAUUAUUACAUGACAUUUUUCCUAAUUAUUUAUAGACUAAGGCUAAAAUAUUUUACAAAAAACUGUGGAAUAUUCACAUUCCAAGGAAAAAAUCUUAAUCUAGAAAAUUUCUUGGAAUUUUAUUCCCCACUUUGUGAAUCUUUAGUGUAAGAGAUUGCUCUCGGUGGUAGUAUGUCCUAGAUAUGGAGCAGCUGCUGAAAACAUCGAUUAUAUCUUCAGAGAUUGUCUUGUGACACAAGAAGUUUGGAUUAGUUUGAAUCUGGAAUGGGUAUUAGCAGAGAUAAAUUUGUCACACUGGGAGUGACGUACCUGGGUGUUCAAGAAUAGUUCCAGCAUACAAUGUUGAGUAUGGGUUGGUGCCCACCAGCUAGUUUCAUUGUUAAGCUUAAUUUCGACGCCACUUUUAAUGAAUCUCGGGCAAAAUCAGCUUCAAGGGUGGUGGCUAGAAAUGUUUCGAGGGAGGUCCUCGCAUUCAAAAUAGUGGUUCAUGGGAAGGUGGCCUCUUCGUUUGCAGCAGAGGCCAUUGCGCGUCUCUAAGCAGUGUUCAUGGGAAAAUAGAUGGGGUUCACAUCAGUUGUUAUCAAAGGAUUCUCAGUAUCAGUGAUAAAAAAAGUAGAUCAUAUAAGAUUGAUAAAUCAGUGAUUAGGGGUAUAAUACGAAACAUUCAGCAACAAAAGUAAAUUUUUCACCAAAUAAUCUUUCAACAUACAUACCGAUCUACAAAUCUAGUGGCUCACAAUUUAGCUAGAGAGGCAACGAGAGAAGAAUCGCGAGCAUACUUGAUCGAAAGGGUCCCUAAGUGAGGAACAUUAGAGGUGGAUCUGCGGAGGAGAGAACCUGACUGAGUGAUGUUAGAUAGGUGGUAUAUGAGUGAGAAGAGAAAAGGAAAGUGGGAUAGUCGAUGCGUUUUGGAAACUGCUUUUCUGGGGACUAGAAUCGGUGCAUUUAUUGCGGAUAUGCUGAUUGAAUUCCAGUUGUGAUCAGACUAAGAGUUUGUUUGAAUUUUCUUUUUUGCUUUUUAUAUCCUUUUUUUAAAUUUUUUAGUGGUACAUUUCACUUUUUUUUUUUCGCAAACUCUUGGGUUUUGUUUUGUUUAUGAUGGGCUUGUUGUUUUUGUUAGCCCAGUUGUAAUUGUUUUUUUUUAUUUUAAUACACCAAUCUAGUUUAUCAAAAAAAAUUAGUUCAUCUUAGUUGUAAUGAAAUUCAUAUUUUUUUUAUCAAUGUCAUUAUAGGUAUCAUAUUUGUUUUUUU
rnacentral:lncRNA from 1 species